AAUUGACAUCCACAGAUCCGGAAUGAUCUAAAGAAUCCAUAGACAUCAAGAAAAUAAUUUUCUGAUGAAUUGUUCAGAAGUUAUAAGCAAAAAAGUGCAUUUGUGGUAUCUCAACACCCAUAGGUGGCGCUAUUCCCAAAUUUGGCAUGGACCCCCAGAUCAUGGUGUAGAUGAAGUGUACCAAGAUUGGUAUCGAUUGAUCAAAGUUUGGCCGAGAUAUAGCAUCUCUACCGAUUUUAGGUCAGCCUCAUUAAGUUCACAAUUGAAUAACUUUUGAACAAAGACGAAAAUCAAAAAUCUGUUCAGUCAUUUCUGUGCGGCUCAGUCCAAAGAACAUCUGAGCCAAAUUUCAGAAGAAUUGGACCAAUUUUGAAGGAGGAGUAGUGUUUAGACUGAAUACUGUACUUUUCAAAAUGGCCGCCACUGUAAUGGGCGGAGUCUUAAUGUAAGAUAUGGAAUGGAAUCUCCAUGAAGAGACAAAAUAGAUGUACUAAGUUUUAUUUUCAUAGAAUUAGUGGUUCAAGAGUUAUUAACGUUUGAAUGUUGAAUUUUUGGACUGCUGGUGGCGCUAUAGAGUUUGGCCUAGAGACCCCAAAGUUGGUCAGAUCACUAAUAAUGACCAGUUCUACAGGUGUGCCAAAUUUCAUCAUUUUCCCAUGUUCCCUUCAUAGGGCUGCCAUAGACUCCCAUUGGCCAAGAAGAAGAAGAAGAAGAAUAAUAAUAAUAAUAAUAAAGAAAACGUACAGAUACAAUAGGGGCUACAGCCCUCUGGGCUUGGCCCCUAAUAAUAAUAAUAAAACAUACAGAUACAAUAGGGGCUACAGCCCUCUGGGCUUGGCCCCUAAAUAUAGCUGCAAGCAGCGAUACCGGGGCCAAGCCCUGAAGGGCUGUAGCCAGAGCAACGAGCGGGACGAAGCAAAACGGCCAAAACAGAACUUCCAUCGGACCGACGUUACCCACCCCGGAUUCGAUCCCACGACCUCUCGGGUUUGGGACGAGUGCCUUAGCUAAGUGGCGCUGUUCCCAAAUUUGGCGUGGACCCCCAGAUCAUGGUGUAGAUGAAGUGUACCAAGUUUGGUAUCGAUUGAUCAAAGUUUGGCCGAGAUACAGCAUCUCAACCGAUUUUAGGUCAACCUCAGGCUGCCAUAGACCCCCAUUGGACGAGAAGAAGAAGAAGAAGAAGAAGAAGAAGAAUAAUAAUAAUAAUAAAACGUACAGAUACAAUAGGGGCUACAGCCCUUUGGGCUUGGCCCCUAAUAAUAAAACAUACAGAUACAAUAGGGGCUACAGCCCUCUGGGCUUGGCCCCUAAAUAUAGCUGCAAGCAGCGAUACCGGGGCCAAGCCCUGAAGGGCUGUAGCCAGAGCAACGAGCGGGACGAAGCAAAACGGCCAAAACGGAACUUCCAUCGGACCGACGUUACCCACCCCGGAUUCGAUCCCACGACCUCUCGGGUUUGGGACGAGUGCCUUAGCGAAGUGCGCCACAUUAGUUGACACACAGUUCGCAUGGCACAGAAGAGAGGUUAAGGUGUGAGAAUGAGGUCACUGAAGAAAGUUGCUUAGCAAUUUAAGCAGCAUGAAAUGGAAAGUUAAGUAAAUUGUAAUUCAGACUUCUGAGAUAUGUCCAGAACAUGGUUUUAAUAAUCCCUACCGAUUAUAGUAGAAAUCUUUCCAUGGGUUGAAAAGAUAUAGAAACUUAGGACACAAUUCUUAAUGUCAGGCAGUUAGUUUAAUUAAUCCAGGCAAAAUUUACAUCCAUGGAUUCGGCAUGUUUCGAGGAAUAGACUGACGACAAGAUCAUGAUUUUCCAACUAAUUGUUCAAAAGUUAUAAGCAGAAAUGUGAGUCUUUGGUAUCUCACGACCCAUAGGUGGCGCUGUUCCCAACUUUGGGAUAUAUUCUCAGUUCAUAGUGUUGAUGAACUGUAGCGAGUUUUGUGGCGAUUGAUCAAAGUACGGCCGAGAUAUAGCCUCUCAUACAAUUUCGAUUGAACACUAUUAACUUCAGAGCAUCAUAACUCUUUUUUUGACCAGUAGGUCGAAGAAUUCUGUUCAGUCAUUUCUGUGCGGCUCGGUCCAAAGAUCGUAUGAGGAAAUUUUGAGAAGAAUUGGGCCACAUUUGAAGGAGGAGUAGCGAAAAAACGGAAUACUGUACUUUUCUUAAUGGCCUUCACUGUAAUGGCAGGAAUUUUAAUGUAAACUAUUCAAUGUGAUCAGCGUGAAGAGAGGAAUCAGGUGUACUAAGUUUUAUCUUGAUAGAAGAAGGUGUUCAAAAGUUAUAAGGAAAAAUGUGCAUUUAUGCUAUCUCAUGACCCAUAGGUGGCGCUGUGCCCGAAUUCGGCAUGAAUCCUCAGAUCAUGGUGUUGAUGAAGUGUAUCAAGUUUGGUUUCGAUUGAUCAAUGUUUGGCCGAGAUACAGCCUCUUAACCGAUUUUGGGUCGACCUCGUUAUGUUCACAAUUGAAUAACUUUUGAACAAAGACCAAUAUCAAAAAUCUGUUCAGUCAUUUCUGUGCGGCUCGGUCCGAAGAUCGUCUGUGGUCAAUUUCAGAAAAAUCAAACCACUUUUGAAGGAGGAGUAGCGUUUAAACGGAAACACUUAAUUAGCUUAAUAGCAAUUAUUGUAAUGGGUGGAAACUUAAUGUAAGGUAUAGAAUGUAAUCUCCAUGAAGAGAGUAAUCAUGUGUACUAAGUUUUAUCUGUCUAGACCAAAGGGUUCAGGAGUUAUUAAAGUUUAAAAACUGAAUUUUUGAACUGGUGGUGGCGCUGUAGAGUUGGUCUUAGAGACCCCAAAGUUGGUCAGAUCACAAUUGGUGACCAUCUCUAGAAGUGUGCCAAAUUUCAUCAUUUUCCCAUGUUCCCUUCAUAGGGCUGGCAUAGUGAUCGAUUGUUUUUGCUCGAAAAUUCUACCAAAAACAAUCGCUAAUAUAGCUGCAAGCAGCGAUACCGGGGCCAAGCCCUGAAGGGCUGUAGCCAGAGCAACGAGCGGGACGAAGCAAAACGGCCAAAACGUAACUUCCAUCGGACCGACGUGACCCACCCCGGAUUCGAUCCCACGACCUCUCGGGUUCGGGACGAGUGCCUUAGCUAAGUGCGCCACAUUAGUUGACACACUGUUUGCAUGGCACAGAAGAGAGGUUAAGGUGUGAGGAUGAGGUCACUAAAGAAAGUUGCCUAGCAUUUUAAGGUAGUUUAGUCAAUCCUGGCAAAAUUUACAUCCAUAGAUUCGGCAUGACCCGAGGAAUAGAAAGACACCAAGAUCAUGAUUUUCCAACUAAUUGUUCAAAAGCUAUAAGCAGAAAUGUGAAAUUUUGGUAUCUCACGACCCAUAGGUGGCGCUGUUUCCAACUUUGGGAUAUAUUCUCAGUCCAUAGUGUUAAUGAAGUGUAGCGAGUUUUGUGGCGAUUGAUCAAAGUACGGCCGAGAUAUAGCCUCUCAUACAAUUUCGAUUGAACACUAUUAACUUCAGAGCAUCAUAACUCUUUUUUUGACCAGUAGGUCGAAGAAUUCUGUUCAGUCAUUUCUGUGCGGCUCGGUCCAAAGAUCGUAUGAGGAAAUUUUGAGAAGAAUUGGGCCACAUUUGAAGGAGGAGUAGCGAAAAAACAGAAUACUGUACUUUUCUUAAUGGCCUUCACUGUAAUUGCAGGAAUUUUAAUGUACACUAUUCAAUGUGAUCAGCGUGAAGAGAGGAAUCAGGUGUACUAAGUUUUAUGUUGAUAGAAGAAGGUGUUCAAAAGUUAUAAGGAAAAAUUUGCAUUUAUGCUAUCUCAUGACCCAUAGGUGGCGCUGUGCCCGAAUUCGGCAUGAAUCCUCAGAUCAUGGUGUUGAUGAAGUGUAUCAAGUUUGGUUUCGAUUGAUCAAUGUUUGGCCGAGAUACAGCCUCUUAACCGAUUUUGGGUCGACCUCGUUAUGUUCACAAUUGAAUAACUUUUGAACAAAGACCAAUAUCAAAAAUCUGUUCAGUCAUUUCUGUGCGGCUCGGUCCGAAGAUCGUCUGUGGCAAAUUUCAGAAAAAUCAAACCACUUUUGAAGGAGGAGUAGCGUUUAAACGGAAACACUUAAUUAGCUUAAUAGCAAUUACUGUAAUGGGUGGAGACUUAAUGUAAGGUAUAGAGUGUAAUCUCCACGAAGAGAGUAAUCAUGUGUACUAAGUCGUAUCUGGAUAGACCAAAGGGUUCAGGAGUUAUUAAAGUUUCAAAACUGAAUUUUUGAACUGGUGGUGGCGCUGUAGAGUUGGUCUUAGAGACCCCAAAGUUGGUCAGAUCACUAUUGGUGACCAUCUCUAGAAGUGUGCCAAAUUUCAUCAUUUUCCCAUGUUCCCUUCAUAGGGCUAGCAUAGUGAUCGAUUGUUUUUGCUCGAAAAUUCUACCAAAAACAAUCGCUAAUAUAGCUGCAAGCAGCGAUCCCGGGGCCAAGCCCUGAAGGGCUGUAGCCAGAGCAACGAGCGGGACGACGCAAAACGGCCGAAACGGAACGUACGUCAGGACAACAGAUCGGUUCAGAAGUAGAGAAGUUUGAAAUUGAACAGAACUUUAGAUGAGAAAGACCAAAAACAUUUUUCAUUCAAUGCGAACACACGCAGAAAAUCCAAUGCCUUGAACAGAGGCAACAUUAACUGCCGUUGAUUUGAACCCAUGAACACAGAAGCAACAUUAACUGCCCUUGAUUCAAACCCAUGAACAACAGUGCACUGGAUUCGAACCCAUGACCUCAGAAGUUCAGAACCACCACCUUAACAGACUGCACCACUGACUCGCUAUACAUCCAGCAAGAGGCAGAAGAAAGGUUAAGGUGUGAGAAUGAGAUCACUAAAGAAAGUUUCUGAGCAAUUUAAGCAAGCGUAAUGUGGAAAGUUAAGUAAAUUGUAAUUCAGAUAUCUGAGGUACAUCCGAAACAUGGUUUUAUUAAUCCCUACCGAU